rnacentral:rRNA from 1 species
AUGAACGCUGGCGGCGUGCCUAAUACAUGCAAGUCGAGCGUACAGACGAGGAGCUUGCUCCUCUGACGUUAGCGGCGGACGGUUGAGUAACACGUGGAUAACCUACCUAUAAGACUGGGAUAACUUCGGGAAACCGGAGCUAAUACCGGAUAAUAUAUUGAACCUCAUGGUUCAAUAGUGAAAGACGGUUUUGCUGUCACUUAUAGAUGGAUCCGCGCCGCAUUAGCUAGUUGGUAAGGUAACGGCUUACCAAGGCAACGAUGCGUAGCCGACCUGAGAGGGUGAUCGGCCACACUGGAACUGAGACACGGUCCAGACUCCUACGGGAGGCAGCAGUACGGAAUCUUCCGCAAUGGGCGAAAGCCUGACGGAGCAACGCCGCGUGAGUGAUGAAGGUCUUCGGAUCGUAAAACUCUGUUAUUAGGGAAGAACAAAUGUGUAAGUAACUAUGCACGUCUUGACGGUACCUAAUCAGAAAGCCACGGCUAACUACGUG